CUGCGAAUGGCUCAUUAAAUCAGUUAUCGUUUACUUGAUAGACCCAUACUACUUGGAUAACCGUGGUAUUCUAGAGCUAAUACAUGCGAAAAACCGCGACUUCGGAAGCGGUGUAUUUAUUAGAUUAAAGACCAAUGCCCUUCGGGGCUGACUGGUGAUUCAUGAUAACUUCACGAAUCGCACGGCCUUGCGCCGGCGAUGGCUCAUUCAAAUUUCUGCCCUAUCAACUUUCGACUUUAGUGUAGUGGACUAAAGUGGUUGCAACGGGUAACGGAGGGUUAGGGCUCGACCCCGGAGAAGGAGCCUGAGAGACGGCUACUACAUCCAAGGAAGGCAGCAGGCGCGCAAAUUACCCAAUCCCGACUCGGGGAGGUAGUGACAAUAAAUACUGAUACAGGGCUCUUUUGGGUCUUGUAAUUGGAAUGAGUACAAUUUAAAUCUCUUAACGAGGAACAAUUGGAGGGCAAGUCUGGUGGACAAAUCCAGUCCCGUGCUGGCGCCAGCAAGAGCGGGGGGCCCCUGCGGGCCUUCUUUCCCGCUAGUCGAGCACCCGUUCCAUGACGGGAGGGUGCCGGCGAGACAACCUGGAUCGGGGGAGGCUAAGAGGCGCCGCCAGGCGUCUUACGUUGAUCCCGAGCAGAGCACCCGAGGAGCGAUCUUCGGGCUGCCUGUGUAGAGCGCGCAAAGGUGUCGGUCGCUCUCCCCCUCGGGGGAGGCGGCUUAAGGGACGUGCCAUCCGCCUCGAAAGAGGAUUUCCUAUCUCCAGCGCCCGUCACGCUAAGGAUAGGAAGCUGCCGGCUUGCACCGGCAGUGGGAGAUCAAUACGGCCAGCAGCCGCGGUAAUUCCAGCUCCAAUAGCGUAUAUUAAAGUUGUUGUGGUUAAAAAGCUCGUAGUUGAACCUGGGCCUCGCGCAGACCGGUCCGCCUCACCGCGUGCACUGGUCCUGCCGGGGCUUUCACUAGGGGAUUCGCAUGUCCUUCACUGGGCGUGUGCGGAACCUGGACUUUUACUGUGAAAAAAUUAGAGUGUUCAAAGCAGGCCUAUGCUCGAAUACAUUAGCAUGGAAUAAUAGAAUAGGACGUGUGGUUCUAUUUUGUUGGUUAUGGGACCGCCGUAAUGAUUAAUAGGGACAGUCGGGGGCAUCAGUAUUCAAUAGUCAGAGGUGAAAUUCUUGGAUUUAUUGAAGACUAACUACUGCGAAAGCAUUUGCCAAGGAUGUUUUCAUUAAUCAGGAACGAAAGUUAGGGGAUCGAAGACGAUCAGAUACCGUAGUAGUCUUAACCAUAAACUAUGCCGACUAGGGAUCGGGCGAUGUUACUUUUUGACUCGCUCGGCACCUUACUGAGAAAUCAAAGUCUG
rnacentral:rRNA from 1 species